rnacentral:misc_RNA from 1 species
CAUUUAAAUUUCAAAUGAAGGCUCAUUCUUAUAGAAGUUUCCCAAUUCCAAGGUCAUUAAAUCUGAUCAGAUCACAUCAACUUACUUUUUCACUUCAUCCAAACUCCUUUUUAUAUUCCCAAUACAUAUCAACUACUGCAUUUCACCAUAAAAAUUUUUCUACUUACCCAUAUCAUAUUUCUUCUUCCUUUUCUUUUCUAUUUUUUUCUCUUCUUCUCCAUCAGUCUACCUUUUCCGCAUGAUUCCUACACGUUACACAUCAUUAGUCCUCCAUACCACUGUUAAUCUUAGCUGCUUCUCUAGCUGUAGGUCUCGUCGUCGGCCUUUAAGUCCCCUUCCACACGAUUUUGUGCUCCUUCGGUCUACACUCGAUGCCAUUCAUAAUAGUUCUCAACUCUACUUUCUUUGUUUCAUGCUCUCUAAUGGCCAUUUCAUAGCAAAUUAAGCAUUAGGUCUUGUAUAGGCAUUGUCAAUUUGCUGUCAAUUUGAAGAAUUUUGAAGAAAUUUGAAGGUACCUAUCAAUUUUGACAUUUUAGAAUAAUUUCUCAUACCUUACAAUAUUUGAGCUUGAAAUGUACUGUAGAUGUGUUGGGUGACUUCUUGAUGUGGCUUUUGCACCUAGAUUUCAUUCUCUAGAAAUGACAUCUACCUUCCCUACUGCAAAUACCUGGAUAACUCCCCUAGUACCAGCUCCUCUAUUGCAGGUGCCUUUGUUAACCUUGUAAGUGCUUCCAUAGAUAGCUUCACUAGUGCCUCCAUAGGUAUCUAGUAUCUGGAACCUAGUAUCUCCACAGGUAUUUCUUUCUCGAAUGCCUUGAGUAGUGCUAAGCCUUCAUAUACUUUUGUUAAUGUUACUAUAAAUACUCGCGAUCUCUUGAGACUGUUGAAUACUUGAGGGGCCAAUUUCCUUAGGUGCUUUUCAUAAGUACCUAACUUCAUUUCUUUUUUUUUAUUAUUUUUGCAGAGAAUGCAAGUGUAAGUCUCUAGCAGUUCCUAAUAAGGCGCAUAUGAGAUUUUAAGGAGUUAUCUGUCUAGCCUGGUUCCAAAGUCACCUCUUAACUCUAGGCUUCCUCCAAUGAUUUUUUACAUGCUAAAAUCAUUAUAUUAUGAUGUAAUAAAUUUAGCAUACAUGUAAAUACUUUGUUACUUAUUAAAUAACAAGUGGUGUUUUGGCAAAAA